UAAUACGAAGGUCCCAAGCGUUAUCCGGAUUUAUUGGGUUUAAAGGGUGCGUAGGCGGACUAUUAAGUCAGUGGUGAAAGCCCCCAGCCUAACUGGGGAACUGCCAUUGAUACUGAUGGUCUUGAGUACAUUUGAGGUGGGCGGAAUGUGUCAUGUAGCGGUGAAAUGCUUAGAUAUGACACAGAACACCGAUUGCGAAGGCAGCUCACUAAACUGUAACUGACGCUGAGGCACGAAAGCGUGGGGAGCAAACAGGAUUAGAUACCCUGGUAGUCCACGCCCUAAACGAUGAUCACUCGAUGUGUGCGAUACACUGUACGCGUCUGAGCGAAAGCAUUAAGUGAUCCACCUGGGGAGUACGGCCGCAAGGCUG
rnacentral:rRNA from 1 species